rnacentral:hammerhead_ribozyme from 1 species
AUCCAAUUGACCAGUCCCGAAUAGGACGAAACGCGCUUUCUGGAU